rnacentral:rRNA from 2 species
UGUGACCUCAAAUCAGGUAGGACUACCCGCUGAACUUAAGCAUAUCAAUAAGCGGAGGAAAAGAAACUAACAAGGAUUCCCCUAGUAACUGCGAGUGAAGCGGGAAAAGCUCAAAUUUAAAAUCUGGCGGUCUUUUGGCUGUCCGAGUUGUAAUCUAGAGAAGUGUUAUCCGCGCUGGACCGUGUACAAGUCUCCUGGAAAGGAGCAUCAUAGAGGGUGAGAAUCCCGUCUUUGACAUGGACUACCAGGGCUUUGUGAUGCGCUCUCAAAGAGUCGAGUUGUUUGGGAAUGCAGCUCAAAAUGGGUGGUAAAUUCCAUCUAAAGCUAAAUAUUGGCGAGAGACCGAUAGCGAACAAGUACCGUGAGGGAAAGAUGAAAAGAACUUUGGAAAGAGAGUUAAACAGUACGUGAAAUUGCUGAAAGGGAAACGCUUGAAGUCAGUCGCGUCAUCCAGGGAUCAACCUUGCUUUUGCUUGGUGCACUUUCUGGUUUGAUGGGUCAGCAUCAAUUUUGACCAUUGGAAAAAGGUCAAGGGAAUGUGGCAUCUUUGGAUGUGUUAUAGCCCUUGGUCACAUACAAUGGUUGGGAUUGAGGAACUCAGCACGCCGCAAGGCCGGG